GUGGGUGGCUUUGUCGCUCCAGCUCAUUGUCACAAAGACUAAGGAGCUGGAGGAGGAAGGCAACAGUGACCCCUGUUUCCAUCCGGGGGGUCGAUGUGAACAUUGUUGAAGAUUAUAAAUACCUUGGAGUUCACAUUGACAAUACACUGGACUGGUCUAAGAACACAGAGGCCGUCUACAAGAAGGGCAUUGGCGUCGUUAGGCCUAUUUUAGGGGGGGCUUAAGCCCUUCUUAAAAGAUUUGCAGCUCCGUUGAGGCGAGCCAGGUCAACGUGUCAUCGUCCAGGUCAAUCAGACCUUGUUCGCCAUGGUGGCCGGUGUUUGGGGCAAAGGGGGAGACAAAGACAGCUUCUACGCGGCCUCCCCCACGAGUAGCCUACAAGUUCAAAAAGCCUACAAAAGGAAGAAGAGUGCGGUGGCCAAGAAGAACAUUCCGCCCAGAACGAUGAUGAAGGGACACAGCAUGAGGGCAUAGCCCAGACUGAGAAAGCGCCACAGUGCCGACGUAGCGUAGCUCUCACGAAGGCUGUCGGAGAUCUUCAGAUAAGAAAGAAAGAAUUAGGUGUACAAACAAAAAGACGUGCACACAGAAGUGCAGCUUUCAUUAUCCACUAAUAUUAACUGCACAUGUAACAAGAAACAUCCUUUUCUAUGUUUAAGCACAUUAAUAACACAUAACGAGAUAAUAACA